GGAGUUGUGGCUCAAUGGGAGAGCACUUGCCUGGCAUGUAUGAGGCACUGAGUGCGAUUCUCAGCACCA
rnacentral:tRNA from 1 species